GAUUUCAGCUAAAAAAGUCAUGAACGUAAAAGUUGUAGAACUGAUCAAGAUGUACAAUUUUUAUUUUGAUCAUUUGUUCAUCCAAUAAAGUGAUAGUAACAUUGUUCACAAAAUUUAUAUAUCUAUCUCAUAGUUUAUGAAACUAUACGAGAGAUAUGUAAAAUUUAUGAACAAUGUUAGUAUCACUCUGUCGGAUGGAAAAAUGAACAAAAUAAUAGUUGUAGGUCUUGAUGACUUCUAUAACUUUUUUGUUGAUAACUUUUUCACAUGAAAUC
rnacentral:pre_miRNA from 1 species